CUAACCGUAAACGAUGACAACCAGCGAUUAAUCGGCGUUAAUAUAUGACCCGAUUAGCAGCUUCCGGGAAACCAAAGUUUUUCGUUUCCGGGGGAAGUAUGGUUGCAAAGCUGAAACUUAAAGGAAUUGACGGAAGGGCACCACCAGGAGUGGAGCCUGCGGCUUAAUUUGACUCAACACGGGAAAACUCACCCGGCCCGGACACCGUAAGGAUUGACAGACUGAGAGCUCUUUCUUAAUUCGGUGGGUGGUGGUGCAUGGCCGUUCUUAGUUGGUGGAGCGAUUUGUCUGGUUAAUUCCGAUAACGAACGAGACUCUGGCCUAUUAAAUAGACGAUAUAUUUAAAAGUAUAUCGCGCUUCUUAGAGGGACAAGCGGCGUCUAGCCGCAUGAAAUAGAGCAAUAACAGGUCUGUGAUGCCCUUAGAUGUCCGGGGCUGCACGCGCGCUACACUGAAAGAAUCAGUGUGCGUUACGCCUAGUUCGGAAGAACCGGGUAACCCAAGUAAAUUCUUUCGUGCUUGGGAUAGGGAAUUGCAAUUAUUUCCCUUAAACGAGGAAUUCCCAGUAAAUGCGGGUCAUAANCUCGCGUUG
rnacentral:rRNA from 1 species